GUGGCAUGCCAAACCUCGCACUUUGAUGGCAUUGUUAAAUAUAACAUCAAAAUGACAACAUAAUAAUACAGGACCACAAUACAAACAAAUAGGAGAACGUAUUAGCAAAGAAACACACGAACAACAGAUAACAAAAGGCAUCAGGUUUAAAAUUCAUUACGUCAAAAAACGCGCCUCGUCCAAACAAGAAUUACCAGUGACGCCCAG
rnacentral:lncRNA from 1 species